UCUAAUCCACAAUUCCUACUUCAGAUCUUACCAGGUUCUCUAUUAAUGGUUGUUCCAAUAUCUCCACUCGGAUUCAGACUAUAAAGAUAAAUGUGACUGCACCUGCAAUAUCCCUCUGCCUAUGUUAAGUUCGGGCAUUUGCUACUCUAUAGGCGGUGUCA